GGCAGUUUAGCUUAAAGGUAAAGCGCUUGACUCGUGAUCACAGGGCAGUGAGUUCGAGUCUCAUGGCUCACU
rnacentral:tRNA from 1 species